AGUUAAUGAGCUUGAUAUUAAGCAUAUAUUUUGAAAAUAUAAGAUAGAAUUAAAUUCUAUUAACUU
rnacentral:tRNA from 1 species